rnacentral:lncRNA from 1 species
GUCUUGUUUGAAAGUACUUUGCAAUUCACGAGCAUAUAAAGAAGGUUACUUUUUUCUUCCCCAAAAAUAGCCCACUCUGUAAGUGCGUGUACCUGGCGAAAUUUAGUUAGACACUGCAUAAUCUACCAGUGUCCCUUAUUAAUGGGGCACUAGACAUCAAGACAUGGAGAGUACUCAUUUAAGAUUUUUCUUUUGAAAGCGAUGCUGUUUCUCCCCUAUUUGAAUUUGCCAAAUGUUAGGAAAGAAAAGCAAAAGCCAGAACCCCAUUCGUGAAUCCUACGCGUCAAUCAGGGCUGAGUUGGUUCAAUAGCCAAUCCAGACGCUGCGCGGGCAAUUUGAAAAUUAGCUACCGGUUUCUUUGACUAGUUGGGAGACUGAGGCGGGGCUGUUGGUGGGGGACCUUUACCAGUCAACCCAUCCUUUACUUUGUGGAAUUCACUCUCUAGGACAAGUUGGUUCCUGCUCUCCUUUCUUGGUGUGGUCCACAUGAUGCUUUCUUUCUCUGUCACUCUCACUUCAUAUGUCUCUACUAAGUGGAAUAAAUUUGAAAAGGAAAGGAGAAAGAAGAGCCGUUCCACUAUCCCUCAACCCAGACUGCCUCUGGACAGUUUUAUUUGCCGAAAGUUUAAUGAUAACUUUUAUUCAGUUAGUGUACUCCAGUAACUUAACUAAUUGAUUUAUGGGUGUUUAAGUGAGAAUAUUCUGCUCACGUGCAACAGGAAACAUACAAGAAUAGAGCAACAAUAUUAACAGCGAGCUCGUGUUUACGGUAAAAAGGAUAAACUCUAAGAUUGAGGUAUGUUCACAGGAUGCUUAUCAUACAGAGGAACGUCAGUAUUAGCUUCAUGAUAGCAUUUUAUAAAUGUAAAAAAAAAUGAUAUCACUUUUUUAGAGGUUAAAAAAAACACCCCAAAUUAUAUAGUGUUUAAGUGUAUUUAGAAGCAUGUAUAUGAUAAUAAACUUUUAAAAGGAGACAUUCAUAAAUAUAUUUUUUAAAAUAUCCAGCAGUGGCCCCUGGUAAUAAAAACAGGGAAGUGGAAUGGGGAAAGCCACAGAGGUAAGGACAAAUAGCUGCAAGCAUUUUAUUUUGGAGGUUAGAAGUUUGGCCUGUGUGUUUGAUAUAAUUUGCUUGCUUUAUACUUUACAUGUAUAUUAUCUAUGUUCCCUUCAUGUAUCAAAUAUUGUACUGCAGAUAGUGAAAGUAAACAUGUAAAAAUAACUUCCAAGCCAUGUAACUUGUAUUCAGAAAAAUGUGUAAAUGAGAACCCUGUACUUAGUAGUGCUUCUCCAGAUUUUAUUUCUUUUAGAGAGAAGGAAAGGGAAAAGAAGACUGACAGACCAUUAAAAAGGCCCAUGGAUUCAGUAAGCUCAUUCUUUUGGUUAACAUUCAUUCAGCAUCCAACCUCCAGAUAUCUUUGCUCCUGAUUCUGCAGACUUCUAGGAAGUUCUUGGGGGAUCCUGGUGGGACUUCAGUUGGUUUCUUCACAUUAUUUGAUGUAUUGAAUCUGCAUGUAGCACAAAACUGGUAGAAUUCAUGCUUCAUGAAAUUCAGCUAAUGAAAUGCUCUUUCCCCUGCUUCAGCAGCUACCUAAAUCCCCAGUGAGCCUCCAAAGCUGGCUGUAGUCUGUUUCCCGCUGGAGCCUGGAGAAUAAGGCCUGGGUAAAACUAGACUUCCUUUAGUUCCUCCAGCUCUUGUAAACCUCACAUCUGCACAGCCUCUCCCAGAAUCUCCGUGCCAUCUCUCUGUGGUGUCUAUGUGCAUAGGUAUUUUGUAUGUCAUACAUUACAGGUGUGGGUGUGCAUCCCUCC